rnacentral:tRNA from 1 species
UUAAAAGUAUUAUAAUAAAUAUGACAAUUUUACAAGUUGUUGAUCCUUCGUGAGGCUUUUAAU